CCUACGGGAGGCAGCAGUAGGGAAUCUUCCACAAUGGGCGCAAGCCUGAUGGAGCAACACCGCGUGAGUGAAGAAGGGUUUCGGCUCGUAAAGCUCUGUUGUUGGAGAAGAACGUGCGUGAGAGUAACUGUUCACGCAGUGACGGUAUCCAACAAGAAAGUCACGGCUAACUACGUGCCAGCAGCCGCGGUAAUACGUAGGUGGCAAGCGUUAUCGGGAUUUAUUGGGCGUAAAGCGAGCGCAGGCGGUUGCUUAGGUCUGAUGUGAAAGCCUUCGGCUUAACCGAAGAAGUGCAUCGGAAACCGGGCAACUUGAGUGCAGAAGAGGACAGUGGAACUCCAUGUGUAGCGGUGGAAUGCGUAGAUAUAUGGAAGAACACCAGUGGCGAAGGCGGCUGUCUGGUCUGCAACUGACGCUGAGGCUCGAAAGCAUGGGUAGCGAACAGGAUUAGAUACCCCUGUAGUC
rnacentral:rRNA from 1 species